rnacentral:rRNA from 1 species
AGAGUUUGAUCAUGGCUCAGAUUGAACGCUGGCGGCAUGCCUAACACAUGCAAGUCGAACGGAAACGAUGCGAGCUUGCUCUCUGGUGUCGAGUGGCGGACGGGUGAGUAAUGUAUAGGAACCUGCCCAUUAGUGGGGGACAACUUGUGGAAACGUAUGCUAAUACCGCAUACGCCCUACGGGGGAAAGGGGGGGAUCUUUGGACCUCGCGCUAAUGGAUGAGCCUAUGUCGGAUUAGCUAGUUGGUGAGGUAAAGGCUCACCAAGGCGACGAUCCGUAGCUGGUUUGAGAGAAUGAUCAGCCACACUGGAACUGAGACACGGCCCAGACUCCUACGGGAGGCAGCAGUGGGGAAUAUUGGACAAUGGACGAAACUCUGAUGCAGCAAUGCCGCGUGUGUGAAGAAGGCCUGAGGGUUGUAAAGCACUUUCAAUAGGGAGGAAAACUUGCUUAUUUAUACCUGCUUACACUGACGUUACCUAUAGAAGAAGGACCGGCUAACUCCGUGCCAGCAGCCGCGGUAAUACGGAGGGUGCGAGCGUUAAUCGGAAUUACUGGGCGUAAAGCGUACGCAGGCGGAUAUAUAAGUCAGAUGUGAAAGCCCUGGGCUCAACCUGGGAACUGCAUUUGAAACUGGCUAUCUAGAGUAUAGUAGAGGUGAGUGGAAUUUCAGGUGUAGCGGUGAAAUGCGUAGAGAUCUGAAGGAACAUCAGUGGCGAAGGCGACUCUCUGGACCCUUACUGACGCUGA